rnacentral:rRNA from 1 species
UAGAGUUUGAUCCUGGCUCAGAACGAACGCUGGCGGCAGGCUUAACACAUGCAAGUCGAGCGCCCCGCAAGGGGAGCGGCAGACGGGUGAGUAACGCGUGGGAACGUACCCUUUGCUACGGAAUAGCUCCGGGAAACUGGAAUUAAUACCGUAUGUGCCCUACGGGGGAAAGAUUUAUCGGCAAAGGAUCGGCCCGCGUUGGAUUAGCUAGUUGGUGGGGUAAUGGCCUACCAAGGCGACGAUCCAUAGCUGGUCUGAGAGGAUGAUCAGCCACAUUGGGACUGAGACACGGCCCAAACUCCUACGGGAGGCAGCAGUGGGGAAUAUUGGACAAUGGGCGCAAGCCUGAUCCAGCCAUGCCGCGUGAGUGAUGAAGGCCUUAGGGUUGUAAAGCUCUUUCACCGGAGAAGAUAAUGACGGUAUCCGGAGAAGAAGCCCCGGCUAACUUCGUGCCAGCAGCCGCGGUAAUACGAAGGGGGCUAGCGUUGUUCGGAAUUACUGGGCGUAAAGCGCACGUAGGCGGGCAUUUAAGUCAGGGGUGAAAUCCCAGAGCUCAACUCUGGAACUGCCUUUGAUACUGGGUGUCUUGAGUAUGGAAGAGGUAAGUGGAAUUCCGAGUGUAGAGGUGAAAAUUCGUAGAUAUUC